UGAGGGAAUAUUUGGGUCAAUGGACGGAAGUCUGAACCAGCCAAGUAGCGUGCAGGACGACGGCCCUAUGGGUUGUAAACUGCUUUUAUGUGGGAAUAAAGUGAGGGACGUGUCCCUUUUGUAGGUACCAUAUGAAUAAGGACCGGCUAAUUCCGUGCCAGCAGCCGCGGUAAUACGGAAGGUCCGGGCGUUAUCCGGAUUUAUUGGGUUUAAAGGGAGCGCAGGCCGGGUAUUAAGCGUGUUGUGAAAUGUAGGCGCCCAACGUCUGCACCGCAGCGCGAACUGGUGCCCUUGAGUACGCACGACGUUGGCGGAAUUCGCCGUGUAGCGGUGAAAUGCUUAGAUAUGGCGAAGAACUCCGAUUGCGAAGGCAGCUGACGGGAGCGCUACUGACGCUCAUGCUCGAAAGCGCGGGUAUCGAACAGGAUUAGAUACCCUGGGUAGU
rnacentral:rRNA from 1 species